rnacentral:lncRNA from 1 species
CAUGCGAUAUUCAACAUCAACUACCAUAACUUUCAAGGCACAAAAUAUAACACUAAUAUUUAAAAUACUAUCAAUUGAAACUAUCAUAAUCACAGUUAAAAACAAAGACCAACUAAAAUACAAUUAAAAGUGUUGUUGCACUAAAACUGAGUUCAAGAUCGGAACAUCCUACAAAGGAAAUCACUGUGGAAAAUUAAGAAAAAUUUCUAACUCAUUUGAAACAGAAACAACGUUAAUGGCAAAACCGGAGUACCCAACAUAGCAUAUCAUAAUUUCAAUAGAACAACCAUAAAUACUUACAUGACUCCAUGAUAAUAACAACUGAAUUAGGAGAUCUGAACCAACGCCUUGUCACCACAGUGCUGUUGCCGAAAUCGUGAAGCCAUGAUUGCAUUUGACUUUGUCAUUUAGCAACGUCAUCUUUGGAUCUUCUCAAUAAGUUGCUUGGGUUUGAUUUGGUUGCUUCUACAUGUGUUAAAGAUCUGCAGGAUGACAUGAUGUCGAAAUGGGUGAAACAGAUGCCGUCGAACCUAAGAGCCCGAGGUGGGAACAGACGUGGCGAGAUGGAGAUUUGCGUGCGGUUGUGUUUGUUGUUGGAUGGCCGACGACGAUGGAGGUUGGAGGCGGAAGGUCGUUGACGGAAGCUUACGGAAGGAGGAUGGUAUUGCUGUAGUGUGGAUGUGAGGUUGUGACG